rnacentral:rRNA from 1 species
GAUGAACGCUGGCGGCGUGCCUAAUACAUGCAAGUCGAGCGAACAGACGAGGAGCUUGCUCCUCUGACGUUAGCGGCGGACGGGUGAGUAACACGUGGAUAACCUACCUAUAAGACUGGGAUAACUUCGGGAAACCGGAGCUAAUACCGGAUAAUAUAUUGAACCGCAUGGUUCAAUAGUGAAAGACGGUUUUGCUGUCACUUAUAGAUGGAUCCGCGCCGCAUUAGCUAGUUGGUAAGGUAACGGCUUACCAAGGCAACGAUGCGUAGCCGACCUGAGAGGGGUGAUCGGCCAAAUUGAACCUGAGACACGGCCCAGACCCCUACGGGAGGAAGAAGUAGGGAAUCUUCCGAAAUGGGCGAAAGCCUGACGGAGAAAGGCGGCGGGAGGGAUGAAGGCCUUCGGUUCGUAAACCUCUGUUAUUAGGGAAGAAAAAAUGUGUAAGAAAUAAUGACCGUUUUGACGGUACCAAAUCAGAAAGCCACGGCAACCUACGU